AUUGAACGCUGGCGGCAGGCCUAACACAUGCAAGUCGAGCGAGCGGCGGACGGGUGAGUAAUGUAUGGGGAACUGCCCGAUAGAGGGGGAUAACUACUGGAAACGGUGGCUAAUACCGCAUACCAUCGGAUGAACCCAUAUGGGAUUAGCUAGUGGGGGGGGUAAAGGCUCACCUAGGCGACGAUCCCUAGCUGGUCUGAGAGGAUGAUCAGCCACACUGGGACUGAGACACGGCCCAGACUCCUACGGGAGGCAGCAGUGGGGAAUAUUGCACAAUGGUCGCAAGCCUGAUGCAGCCAUGCCGCGUGUAUGAAGAAGGCCUUAGGGUUGUAAAGUACUUUCAGCGGGGAGGCGUUACCCGCAGAAGAAGCACCGGCUAACUCCGUGCCAGCCGCCGCGGUAAUAC
rnacentral:rRNA from 1 species